GGGGGCAGCAGCAGCUGCUCUGCCUGCCCAUGGGCCCUGUCCCCAUGCCAGCGGGGGCAGCAGAAGCGGCAGCAGCAGAAGCUCUGCCUGCCCAUGGGUCCUGUCCCCAUGCUAUUCCACACUAUUCUCUAAAUAAAAGAGCACUACUGCCAGAUCUUGAGAGUCUAAGAAAUCUUUCUUUCGACUCCUCGGCUCACCAAUCCCACAUCAUUUCUGGUGGCCCGUACGGGGAAUUGCUUCAUCGGCUUGUGAGCUCGAGUUCUGGAACUACUAUCUAGCCCAUCACUAAUUCCUAAAACUGAAGAAAAAAAGAAAGAAAGAAAGAAAGAAAGAAAGAGGAGGGGAGAGGCAAAACGGCCAUAAGCGUGCCCUUGCAAAAAAUCUAGCAUCUUGAGUAUCUUCUCCACAAAUAUUGUUUCACCUCCUGGACCACCACUCGUCAAAUGAUUCUCUCGUCCCCAGAGGCUCUGGAUGCCUUGUCAGCCUUGGACUCCACGGGUGCAGUCUUCCGGUCCGCUGAACCCCCUACCUAUACCUAUGGCCCCAUUUAGGGACAGCUCUACGACCUUGUACAGCCGGAAGUAGUUACAGAAGACUGACCGUCGUCCAUAUCCCCAAAAGAUUUCGGGGCCAAAUGGGUUCAGGGGGGGUUUAUGAUGUGGAUUAAGGCUGCCCCAGCUAG
rnacentral:lncRNA from 1 species